rnacentral:rRNA from 1 species
UACGUAGGGUGCGAGCGUUGUCCGGAAUUAUUGGGCGUAAAGAGCUCGUAGGCGGCCUGUCGCGUCGGAUGUGAAAGCCCGGGGCUUAACCCCGGGGUCUGCAUUCGAUACGGGCAGGCUAGAGUGUGGUAGGGGAGAUCGGAAUUCCUGGUGUAGCGGUGAAAUGCGCAGAUAUCAGGAAGAACACCCGUGGCGAAAGCGGCUCUCUGGAACGGUACUGACGCUGAGACGCGAAAGCGUGGGGAGCGAACAGG